rnacentral:rRNA from 1 species
UACGGAGGGGGCAAGCGUUGUUCGGAAUCAUUGGGCGUAAAGGGCGCGUAGGCGGCUUUGUAAGUCCGUUGUGAAAUCCCUCGGCUCAACCGAGGAACUGCGACGGAUACUGCUUGGCUUGAGUCCCGGAGAGGGUAGCGGAAUUCCCAGUGUAGCGGUGAAAUGCGUAGAUAUUGGGAGGAACAUCGGUGGCGAAGGCGACUCCCUGGACGGGUACUGACGCUGAGGCGCGAAAGCUUGGGGAGCAAACAGG